UACGUAGGGGGCAAGCGUUGUCCGGAAUCAUUGGGCGUAAAGCGCGCGUAGGCGGCCCGGUAAGUCCGUUGUGAAAGUCGAAGGCUCAACCUUCGAAAGCCGAUGGAUACUGCCGGGCUAGAGUACGGAAGAGGCGAGUGGAAUUCCUGGUGUAGCGGUGGAAUGCGUAGAGAUCGGGAGGAACACCAGUGGCGAAGGCGACUACCUGGCCUGUUCUUGACGCUGAGGCGCGAAAGCUAGGGGAGCAAACGGG
rnacentral:rRNA from 1 species